rnacentral:rRNA from 1 species
CCUACGGGUGGCAGCAGUGAGGAAUAUUGGUCAAUGGGCGCGAGCCUGAACCAGCCAAGUAGCGUGAAGGAUGACUGCCUUACGUGUUGUAAACUUCUUUUAUAAAGGAAUAAAUGGCGGCACGUGUGCCUUAUUGUAUGUACUUUAUGAAUAAGGAUCGGCUAACUCCGUGUCAGCAGCCGCGGUAAUACGGAGGGUCCGAGCGUUAUCCGGAUUUAGUGGGUUUAAAGGGAGCGGAGAUGGGUUGUUAAGUCAGUUGUGAAAGUUUGCGGCUCAACCGUAGAAGUGCAAUUGAUACUGGCAGUCUUGAGUGCAGGUGAGGUAGGCGGAAUUCGUGGUGUAGCGGUGAAAUGCUUAGAUAUCACGAAGAACUCCGAUUGCGAAGGCAGCUUACUGGACUGCCACUGACGUUGAGGCUCGAAAGUGUGGGUAUCAAACAGGAUUAGAUACCCCUGUAGUC